CAGUCGCCGCGGGAAUACGUAGGGUGCGAGCGUUAAUCGGAAUUACUGGGCGUAAAGCGUGCGCAGGCGGUGAUGUAAGACAGAUGUGAAAUCCCCGGGCUCAACCUGGGAACUGCAUUAGUGACUGCAUCGCUGGAGUGCGGCAGAGGGGGAUGGAAUUCCGCGUGUAGCAGUGAAAUGCGUAGAUAUGCGGAGGAACACCGAUGGCGAAGGCAAUCCCCUGGGCCUGCACUGACGCUCAUGCACGAAAGCGUGGGGAGCAAACAGGAUUAGAUACCCCAGUAGUCCCUGUCUCUUAUAC
rnacentral:rRNA from 1 species